UACCUACAUAUAUAUUUUAGACUUUAUUCCUUACGAAUUUACCACUCAAGUCAUCAUCAUUAUCAACUACAGAAUACAGAAUGAUAUCUUUACAAGCCCCGAGAUGAAGCCGAUGAAACUCAUAAAUACAGAGUAAUACAUAUCUUCCUUUACAUACGAAUAAAAGAGACAACUACAGAUUGUACUUGCGAAUGAUGAUUCGACAUUAUUAGCAAUUGAGCCAAAUAAUUAUUUAUAACACUAAUACAAUCAAAAUAAAGUUCAAUUUAGUGUGGUCGGGUCGAGAGAUCGAGUUUAUUAUAUGGAUCACCAAACGGGUCUCACAAGAUCGGGUGUUUUAGUCGUCCGCGACCCGAUUAUUCACGAGAACUACAGAUUUGAGAGUUAUUCUAUUAAAAAUAAAGUUCAAUUUAGCGUGGUCGGGUCGAGUGAUCGAGUUUUUAUAUGAAUCACAAGAUCGGGUGUUUUAGACGUCCGCGACCCGAUUAUUCACGAGAACUACAGAUUUGAGAGUUAUUGUUUUAAAAAUAAAGUUCGAUUUAGCGUGGUCGGGUCGAGUGAUCGAGUUUUUAAUGAAUCACAAGAUCGGGUGUUUUAGACGUCCGCGACCCGAUUAUUCACGAGAUCUACAGAUUUGAGAGUUAUUGUAAUCAAAAUAAAGUUCAAUUUAGUAUGGUAAACAAAAACCUUUCGAUCUUUUAAUCGAGUCUGCGCCCGGGCGGGUCUCCAAACGGGUCACAUAAGAUCGGGUGUUUUUAACGUCCGCGACCCAAUUACUCACGCACAAGUAGUGAUCGGGUGUCGGAGAUUUGAUCAUUCGCGAUCGACACAGGUCUAGAGAAAACUAAAUAACCCAAUGCACUUCAAAUAAUGCAGUGAACUGAACGACAUCUUAUCUUUGUUUUUGAAAUUUUGACAGCUUUACUUAACAAACAAAAUAUGGCUCACUGAUUGGCUGUUCAUUUCGACCAAUGACAGAAGAGUUGCGACACUAGCGUUCAGAGCCAAAGUGGAAGCGGGUGGAACUAAAAUCUGUCUCAGGCCUGCCUGCACCUGUGAACUCGUUACUCGAUAUUGACACAAACAAAAAACACAUCGACAUUUUGUUAAGUGUUUAUCACAGACUAGCCGCCCACUUACAAAAUAAAACCAUAACGUGUACAUACUCUUUGGUAACAGGGAUCGAUUGCAGCGACAAAACGGCACAUGCAAGAACUAAAGUGUCAUACCCCCUGGGGCCUAAUUGUCUAACGGAGUUCAUUGAUCGUAAAGUUCAUACGAUCGGCUACGAUCAACGAUCAAUCGUAACUUUACAUUGGUAUUGUCUAAUUUAGUUCAUUAUAUGAAGACCGGAUGGUGAACGAUGAACUGAAAUCAUUCAUGAAGAUUGCGUAUUGUUUAUGCAAAACGAUAGUGAAACUAUCGUUAAUAAUAUUAUCAAAUUUAAGUCAAACUCCAUAAUAAUGCAUAUAUUUUAACAAAGUUUUAUGUCUUUUAUUUAAAACAUUAAAGAAGCAUUAAAUUUCACGAAAAAUAUCUACUAUUGAAGAAAAUAGCGUGAGAAAAUGGUACAUGCAACUCGAGUAACAAAACGCAAUUAACGAAUUUAACCAAGGGCUAUUUGGACUAUUUGGUAAUCUCCCUGUUGUCUGUGUAGGCUAGUGUCAAAAUAACGGGGUAUCCUAUUAGUCUGUGGUGAAACAUAGCAUAUUAGGGAUGUCGGAAAUGCAAUAAAGUAUCGAUAUAUAUUGUAUCGAUAAUUUUUGAAUAUAUCACUAUCGAUAUUGAUAUUUUCAUUUAAAAAUAUCGAUAUAUCGAUAUAUCGGUGUGAUAGGAAAAAAAAAUAUUUGGCCUAAUCUACCUCAAUCAUCUUACAUUACUAGAUAAAUACUUAUCAAUAGACAUCAUUUUUAAUUUUUUUAAAUCAAGGACAACAAUAAAAAAUAUUAAUUAUUUAUUAAUCAAACCAAUAUUUAUCUGAUACAGACAUAAGAAAAACUCUUUGAUUUACAUGCUCGGCUGUAAGCCGACUUCUGUUAUUGGGUACUGCGAGAUUUACAGCAGAUGCCACUCUCUAAAAAACCGAGGACGCAGGCGAUAUCAAAUACUUUAGAGCUAUGUCGGAAAGGACUGGAGUAAAAUGACGACAAUCAGACCAGAAUUUUGUAGGAUUCUCUUUUCUGGGUAUUAUAGGCUGAUCUAGAUAUUUUUUUAGUUCGCUAGGCAUACCAUCACUGGUUAAAAGUAAACUGGAGGUUGCUGCAGCAAUAUCUAUCAUAAUUUAUUCAUGUCCGGACCACAACGACGGCGAAGAAUUUUCUGAAUUUGGAAUUAUGGUAGUGGUUGUGGGUCUGAGUUCAGGCGAAAGUUGUCCUCUACGUCUACGUUCUAAACGUAUUUCUUUUGACAAUGCGGUUAUUGCAGUGGAAACAGCUAGUGCUGAAUUAAAAUAAAUACGCUUAAAGCGAGGGUCUAAAAUUGUUGCUAUAGCAAGAUGUAAAUGUCGCUCUAGUGGUUCUAGUUUGGCAAUAACUAAGUUUAGCAAACAGAGACAUUGACAGACAGAGUUACCAACUUAAAAGCCAACUUAAGUACCAAAUUAAAACGCAGUAAAUCGAGUCGACCAAAGACAAAAAAAAUGUAAUUUGUUAAAAAAUGUUACUAUAAAAAAAGUAUUCUUUUUUAGGAUUUUUUAAUUAUAAAAAAUAUCGAUUUUUAUACCUUUUCAAUACUUGUAAUUUUAUAUCGAUACCUCGAUACAUCGAAACAUUAAAUAUCGCUCAAAAAUAUCGAUACAUUGAAAAAAUAAUAUCGAUAUAUCGAUGUAUCGAUAUUUUUUCGACGAGCCUAUAGCAUAUUAAUAACCUGUGUAUUAGAAAUUUUAAUUUAACAAAACAAAACAAUAUUUUUAUUUUUCAGGUUUUAAAGAGAAUUUAGAAAUUGAGCAAAGUUUUACUAAAUUAUAGUGAUCUUAGGAGCAAAGUUUACUUCGUUUAUGUUAUUGUUAAUCAAAAAUAUAAAAGAAAACUACCUCUAUCUAAUUUUGUCGAUGUCCAUUUCUUAAGAAGUUUCUCAUUAAAACAACCCUUAACUCAGGCAAGGCAGGGCUAAGGUGGUUAGCGUAACUACAAGUGGUUAACUUACAGUUAGCCAACUGAAGAACAAUCAACAAUGCCCGAUUAAUAAGUGAUCGCGCUGCUUGUCUACUACAUGUCCCUGCACUAGUUAUAGCAGUAAUUUCUUUGUUGGGAAGUAUUUAGCACAUCCGGGCUGCGCAAAAGGAGAGGACUAAAUUGAUUAUUAUGAACAGACCAUUAUGAUGAACCACUGAUAUUGACUCAGAGACAUGAAGAUGAGUGCUUUGACAACAAGACUGACUAGCUGAGCCAGCUUAAGAAUUAUGUGGUGUGUGUGUGUCUAAUUCCAGGAGCUCUCUAUGUCAGCCAUCCAUCUAUAUUCUUACUCAUUUUUGUUAAUUAUAAAAUAAAUUUGAUUAUUUA